rnacentral:rRNA from 1 species
GAAAAGAAACUAACAAGGAUUCCCCUAGUAACGGCGAGUGAAGCGGGAAGAGCUCAAAUUUGAAAUCUGGUAGCCUUCGGCUGCCCGAGUUGUAAUCUAGAGAAGUGUUUUCCGUGCCGGCCCAUGUACAAGUCCCUUGGAACAGGGCGUCAUAGAGGGUGAGAAUCCCGUCCUUGACAUGGACCCCCGGUGCUUUGUGAUACACUUUCAACGAGUCGAGUUGUUUGGGAAUGCAGCUCAAAAUGGGUGGUGAAUUCCAUCUAAAGCUAAAUAUUGGCGAGAGACCGAUAGCGAACAAGUACCGUGAGGGAAAGAUGAAAAGCACUUUGGAAAGAGAGUUAAACAGUACGUGAAAUUGUUGAAAGGGAAACGAUUGAAGUCAGUCAUGCUCUUUGGAUUCAGCCGUUCUGCGGUGUAUUUCCAUUGAGUGGGGUCAACAUCAGUUUUGACCGCUGGAUAAAGGCACUAGGAAGGUAGCACUCUCGGGUGAACUUAUAGCCUAGCGUCAUAUACAGUGGUUGGGACUGAGGAACGCAGCAUGCCUUUAUGGCCGGGAUUCGUCCACGUACAUGCUUAGGAUAUUGACAUAAUGGCUUUAAACGACCCG